AUUGAACGCUGGCGGCAUGCCUUACACAUGCAAGUCGAACGGUAACAGGUCUUCGGAUGCUGACGAGUGGCGAACGGGUGAGUAAUACAUCGGAACGUGCCUAGUAGUGGGGGAUAACUACUCGAAAGAGUGGCUAAUAUCGCAUGAGAUCUACGGAUGAAAGCAGGGGAUCGCAAGACCUUGUGCUAUUAGAGCGGCCGAUGGCAGAUUAGGUAUUUGGUGGGAUAAAAGCUUACCAAGCCGACGAUCUGUAGCUGGUCUGAGAGGACGAUCAGCCACACUGGGACUGAGACACGGCCCAGACUCCUACGGGAGGCAGCAGUGGGGAAUUUUGGACAAUGGGCGCAAGCCUGAUCCAGCAAUGCCGCGUGCAGGAUGAAGGCCUUCGGGUUGUAAACUGCUUUUGUACGGAACGAAAAGCCCUGGGUUAAUACCCUGGGGUCAUGACGGUACCGUAAGAAUAAGCACCGGCUAGCUACGUGCCAGCCGCCGCCGUAACAC
rnacentral:rRNA from 1 species